rnacentral:misc_RNA from 1 species
UCCCCCGUGAGGGGGCAGUCUCGCCUGACACUUGUAACAGGCAACGAGGGUUGCGUUCGUUACCCCACUGAAGGGAACAGUGCAAACCACGAACUGACGACAGCCAUGCAUCACCUGUCUCACACCCUCGAAGGCUUCCCUACUUUCAUAGGGCUUGCAGUGAGAUUUCUAGUCCUGGUAAGGUUCUUCGCUUACCGACGAAUUAAGCCACACGCUCCACCGCUUGUGCGAGCCCCCGUCUAUUCCUUUGAGUUUUAGUCUUGCGACCGUACUACCCAGGCGGUCUGCUUAACGCGUUAGCUUCGACUCGGAGAGGGUCGAUACUCCCCAAAUCCAGCAGACAUUGUUUAGGGCGUGGACUAC